rnacentral:lncRNA from 1 species
UUAGAGAGAACGCCUCCAACGGGAUCCACAAGCAAACAUCUCCGAAAAACACUUCAUAGACAAUGCAAAUUACAAACAGACUAUUACAAGCUCUGAACAGUGGCACAACAAAGGGUAAAAUGGUCCAUUACAGACCGAAAAGCUCUCGAGCGUGUCCACAUGACACAACCUUUAUUUACAAGCCUAAAGAGGCCACCAACCCAACUAAAAUGGGACUAUUAAGCCUUCGGCCACCCCUUUACAUUCUGUACAAGGCAUGAACAUGCCAAAAGACACGGACAUACAUAAGCAUUACAUCAAACACCUUGUUUAGAAGUUUGUCCGUGACACUACGGUAAAAGGUCUUUGGCGUUUGAUGAUAGUGACAUAUCCACCUCAUUUGUUACCCCACCUUUAUCUAGAAAAUUAUUUAUUUCAUAUAUUAUUUUAAAAAUAAAAAAAUAUUUUAUUUUAAUCAAACUUGACUUAUAAAAAACCUACUAUAAACUCUCUUGAGAAGUUGUUAUUAAUAUAUUAUAUAUUGCUAAAUUCCUAAAGUGCUUUGGUUGGAUUCUGUCCUAUUUGGUGAUCCAAUAUCGUCUUAUUUAUAAUUGUAUCACAACUAUUGUCUUUCCUCUUGAAUUAGGUUUGUGAUCGGAAUUUGAUCAUCUUUUUGCUUCAAGAUGAUAUCAUUUUUCAUAUUCUUAGAUUUUAUACGCCUUUAACGAAUCUUAAGGUUAACAUUAUAAACUAUUCGGAAGGAAAUUUACAACCAAUUUUAAAUCCAGGAGGACAUAUUUUCUUUUAAAUACUCCUUAUGAUCCUAUCCUUCAACAGUUUACUGAUCGGCUUAUUACUUCUUACCAAAGCUCAUUUUUAUCUCACGUGGGAAGGGUUGUUCUUAUCAAUUUGGUACUCAAUGCCUAAUCACUUGUUAUAUUUGCAUGCAUAUGGGGUGGAGAAGAAGAAGAAGAAGAAGCAAAUGCGAGUUGUGUACUGCUUAUGACAUGAUUCAAAGUUAACGUUGUUGGAAUGUGUUGUUGCUGAUCUCUAUCUUUCAGAAUUGUCUGCCUUAUUUUGUAUGUAUCUCCAGGAUUGUAGAUUGCUUUAGUUUCCCCCAGGGUCAAAGGAUGUGUGCCCAUCGAUUGGAUUGGCUCUCAUCUCUUUCGAAAACUUUGUAGAAUCAAAAGUUGGUGACUCCAACAAAGGACAAAACAUUAGUCCCUCUCAUCUCUUUAGAAAACUUUUGUAGAAUCAAAAGUUGGUGACUCCAACAAAGGACAAAACAUUAGUCCACCCCACUUGCAGGUCAGCUUCUCUCUACCCAACAUGAAGAACUUGGCACUUGGUUACAUUAUCCAGCACCGAGUGAGGUAGAUGAUCAAUUUUGAGCAUGAAUUGUUGUCCUGGACUUGGAUUUCUCCUCGUGCAGUUUUCUCGGCGAUUAUAUUCCCUCUAUAUCCAAAAUCUGAGCUUACUUUGUUCGGUAGCAGCAUUUGAAGUAUUCUCUUUUGUUGCAUGGAGAGAGUUGACUGAUGACUGCACUUUGCUCCCAAGUCUAAAGCUUCCACAUCAAUGUUGAGUUGUUCCUUUUGUUGUUAUUGGGAAAAGCAGCGCACCUCCUCAUCCAUUCAACGGUGGUGAAGACGAAAACAUCGCAAGGUGGAAGUCUUAGCUAAGUUGCAGACGUUGCCAAACUCCAACUUGUUUACGGCACUGUGAACUAUUAGCUGUAUCUCUGAUCGCAUUAUACAACAGAUUAAAGAGCCACUAAUCCAACCUUUUUGACCACCAUGUCUUCUUUUUUUUCUUUGACUAAUAGAUUGGUGGUGUCAUUAGUUAGAUCUCUAGGAAGAAUAAACCACUUUUAGCGAGAUCUCAAUCCAGAUGAAGUCCCAAUUGCAGGCACUCGAGAUCGUCUCGGUCCACUCUGGAAGUUUCAUGCAAUUUAGUUAUCUUGAUCGAGCACGAACAUACUGCGUGCUGCAGUGUUGCUAAAAACUCGAUUCAUCUAAUGGGCAGCAAUUAAUGCUGGUCACGAGAACUGAAUUCUAAGCAGUUGCUGCUGCUUUGUUUCCUUAGACUAGAAAGAAGCGUGUCAUCGAAAUAUGCAGCGAUGUGGUGAUUACAGCUUUGGAGUGCUUGUUCUGUUCUUCUGUUCUUUUCUUCUCCAGAAAGAACACUGGUGAUCGAACUUGAGGAUGAGGAAGGGGAGGAAAGCGCUAUUUCGACAUGGACUAACUAGUACAGGCCUCAUCUAAAGUUGACUCGGACUUUGUAUUAGCCGCUACCUUCACGGUGAAUGGAGGGAGGAGGAGGUUUCAGGUGGGGCCCAUUUUUUAGCAUGGGCCAUCCUUGUCUUCGACUGUUAUUCCGCAAACCCAUAUGUGUGUGUGUGUGUAUUUGUAUGUAUGUGUAUAUUUUAGAUCACAUUUCACAUAGCUUUUUUGUUUUGUUUGAAGCUUCAUUUUGAAGGGUUACAAAACCAAGGAAUCGUUGGAGUUUCCGAUGUGCAACAUUCUCAUCACACUCUUUCUUUCUCAUGGUCAUCAUCGUAGCCACCACCAAACGACAACAUCGAGCAACAUUGGCUCCACAAAGAAACGUCACAGUGUAGACCUGUGUGGAAGUUAAAGCUUGUUGCUUAGAUUAGCCAAUCUUGCAGAAGCACCCAACAGCAACUCCUACUCUCAACAGUUCCAAUCUAGACAAACUUAUCAUGGCUUGAUGAUGCACGAUGGCCGGCCCUGCACAACCUCCACCAUGACUGGUUUCGUCACCCUUGUGGUGGAUGCUUUUGUCCCUGUUUCUCUCUUACUCGACAAGUGUCAGUAGUUCCAAAUGCAUGCGUGCAUUAGCCGUCUAUUCACAAGCGUGCAGCCAAUAGGCUGCAGUGCUCGAUGAAGAAAAAGCCAACCAACCCUCUUCGUUUCCAUCAUCGAUGGUAUCAUCAGAGAAGUAGAUGCGCUAGCUGCUCGAUGUUUUCGUGGCAUAAAUAGGAGUGGAUUCUCCACCUCCUUCUCAAGUCCUUGUUCUUGAUGGAAUAUGAUCUUGGUCUGGUACUCUGUGCUGUGGUGGUGGUGUUCAUCUCAAUCUUGGUUUGGAGAGCGCUGGUGUACCUGACAUGGAGGCCGUAUGCGAUAACGACAGCUUUCAGGAAGCAAGGAGUGGGAGGCCCUGCCUACAAGUUCUGGUCCGGAUCAAGUGAGGAGAUCAAAAGCAUACAAAGGGAAGCAAUGCAGCUGGUGUUGGAAAACCACUGUCAUGAUAUCACGCUGCGUGUGCUGCCACAGUACCGCAAAUGGAUAUCAGAAUAUGGUCUUAAUUUCCGCUUAGCCUCUCUCUAUCUUUUAACAUGCCUAUAUUACAGACUCAAUUUUUUUUUAUCUACAUUACAUGUUGAUGUUGUUGUUUCCACAGGAGAUGUAUUUUUGUUCUGGUUUGGAGCAAAGCCGAGUCUCUUCAUCAGUGAUCCGGAGAUGGUCAAGCAAGUUCUUGCGAAUAAGUUUGGAUUCUACCCAAAGUCGGAUGUUCCUUCCGCUAUCUUGGCCCUGUUGGGCAAGGGAUUGGUCCUGGUAGAAGGAUCGGAAUGGGCGAGGCAUCGAAGGGUCGUCAACCCUGCUUUCACGAUGGACAAGCUCAAGGUGAGUCUCCCGCAACCCUUCCACCGAAUCGAUGAAGAUGAUGCAUCCUGGAUAAGAAUGGUUGUCUUGGAUCUUCUUGGUAGCUGUUGACAAGAACGAUGGCAGAUUGCGCCAAAUCGAUGCUAGAAGGCUGGCAUGAUCUAGCAAUGAAAGCAGCGGAUGGGCGAGAAGAGAUAGAGGUGGCCAAACAAUUCCAAGAACUGACAGCAGACAUAAUCUCUCAUACUGCAUUCGGGAGCAGCUACGUGGACGGAAAGGAAGUCUUUUACGCACAGAAGCAGCUCCAGAUGCUCGCCGCAGCAUCUAUUCUUGACGUCGAAAUCCCUGGACACAGGUGACCUGCCAGAUUUCGAGGUUAAGCUAUCACCAAGAAUCUGACGCCGAGCCUGUCCUCUUUCUGCAGGUAUCUUCCCACUCACAGGAAUAUAAACAAAUGGAAGCUAGAGAGACGAGUGAAGAACACGCUUGUGCGCAUCAUACGGGGACGAUUAGAGGCAAGCAACUCGAGAUUCGGAAAUGAUCUUCUAGGUGUGAUGAUGGAAGCCAGCCAGAAACAGAGAGGCCAAACCAUGAGCAUGGAUGAGAUCAUUGAUGAGUGCAAGACCUUCUUCUUCGCAGGUCACGAGACCACCUCCCAUCUCCUAACCUGGGCUAUGUUCUUGCUGAGCACCAACCAGGACUGGCAAGAGCGGCUCAGGGAGGAGGUGUUGCAGGAAUNNNNNNNNNNNNNNNNNNNNNNNNNNNNNNNNNNNNNNNNNNNNNNNNNNNNNNNNNNNNNNNNNNNNNNNNNNNNNNNNNNNNNNNNNNNNNNNNNNNNNNNNNNNNNNNNNNNNNNNNNNNNNNNNNNNNNNNNNNNNNNNNNNNNNNNNNNNNNNNNNNNNNNNNNNNNNNNNNNNNNNNNNNNNNNNNNNNNNNNNNNNNNNNNNNNNNNNNNNNNNNNNNNNNNNNNNNNNNNNNNNNNNNNNNNCUCUCUCUCUCUCUCUCUCUCUCUCUCUCUCUCUCUCUCUCUCUCUCUCUCUCUCUCUCUCUCUCUCUCUCUUCCCCCCAUGUCGAAGCAGAAGUGAACCAGCCAUGGCUCGUGCUGCAGGUCACCAUGGUUCUCCUGGAAACCCUAAGACUCUACGGGCCAGUCGUUCAGAUGGCGAGAAAGGCAGGAAAAGACAUGAUCCUGGGAAACAUAAGCAUACCGAAAGACACUGCGGUGAUGAUACCUGUACUGAUGAUUCACCGGAGCAAGGAGAUCUGGGGAGAGGAUGCAAACGAGUUCAAUCCGCUCAGAUUCGAGAAUGGGAUCUCCAAGGCCGCCUCGCAUCCUAACGCGCUGCUCGCGUUCUCGAUCGGGCCAAGAGCAUGCAUCGGCCAGAACUUCGCCAUGUUGGAAGCCAAGACUGUGAUGGCCAUGAUUCUGCAGCGAUUCUCCUUCUCUCUAUCACCCAAGUACGUGCAUGCACCUGUGGAGUCGUUGACACUGCAGCCCCAGUAUGGGCUUCCCAUUGUCUUCACCCCCUUGCAUGCCUGACACUGAUGUGUUUCUCCAGCUGAGAGAACAACAUAUCAUCAGUGUAGUGCUAAGGUUCGGGUUUCGGAAUGUUGAAUUCCGAGGAAUGAUAUUUAAAUCCAUGAGACGGCAAGGUGAUAAAGGUCAAGACAUCACUGUUAUAUUUAGUGGAACUACUUAAGUGGAGAUAACACUUAAGUAAAAGUAUUACCAAUUAAGUGUUACAGGUUCUCUUUUAACAAUAGAAUAUUAAUAUUAUAUUGACAUGAAAUAUAAAAUAAUAAUGAUGGUACUGACAAAAAUAGAGUAGUUGAGGUUGCUACAGAUCUUAAAUAAUUUAGAUUUAUUUAGAUAUUGGAUCAUAACAAGAUGAUAGGGGAAGAAAACAGUGUGUGCAUCAAGUACAGGACGCAACUAUUGUUACAAAAAUCUCGGGAGAGGGAAGUCGAAGGACUUCAAUAAUUGCUAUGCAAAUCCUUGGAAAUCAUUGAAGCGGCUACCUAUAUCAUAAACCAAAACAUAACUAGUGUUCUGUUCCAAGAAUAUAGAACCUUGUUUGUGCACUGCUUUACAAUCGCUUGUUCAUCAGGGAUAUGUUUGCCGCUGAUGUAAGACGUGAUGAGACAUCAGUAUCAUCUUCCACUGUUACAUGUGCUUUAUGAUAGUUAGGCAAUAUAUAUAUAUAUAAUUAGAUUAUGAUUAUGGUUAUGGAUUAAUAAAAAAGUUAAUUAUGAUAAGAUUUUUUAAUAGAUGAUCUUGAUUGGAGGGACUUUCUUAAUUACUAUCGAAGAUCAUUUGCUCUCGUCUAUAAAACGAUAAGACCUUAUAGAAAAAAAAAAUUAAUUAUGCAGAAAUUAUAGAUAUUCUCUCGUCUCCCAUAGUCCAUAACACACCAUAAAACAUCGCUCAUAGGGAUCCAACGAAGGAUAGAAAAAAAAAAAUGAAUCUAGUUUAUCUUUACAAAUCGAUAUCGUUGUAACUUUCGGAUCCAACGAUAAUAUACUUACAAAUUAGAUAAAGCUUUUUGAGCAUCAAAAGAUACGCAUUAUAUAUUUGACCUAUUGUUAUUUAAUUUUAAUUUCUAGUAUUAAAGUUUUUAGCAUAAUCAUAAUUUUAUAGUUACAAUUGGUAUCAAAGCUAUACUUUGAAAUCAAAUACCUUUGAUCGGUAAAGUAUUUUAGAUCUAUUUUUAUACUUAGAUCAGUUUGUUAGCACCCUUUGCUUGUAAAAAAGUGUUAUUCGGUUUUGAUUUACGACGCUUAAAUGAUCUGUAUGUAUUAUCAAUUUACUUUUUUAUCUAGUACAUUAUAUUGCCUACUUGCGGGUGGUGUGAGGUUCUUUGUGUUUAAUCGAUAGACCAUUGUUGAUAAUUUGCUAUCAUCAUAGUAUUAUUGAGUAUGACGACCUCCGAUGGUCGCUAAUCUAGCCACGGGCAAUGGUUGCAUAUUCAACGAAAGCACCAUAGGGUGCAACAACCAAUGACAACCAUAUACAUGGCUACCUACUGCUAUGGCAUUCGUUGGCCAUGAACAACAUUAAUUAGAUGCCAUAGACCAUAGAUUCCCAACAGUUGCAUAGCUUAAAAAGGAAAUGGUGGUGGUGGCUAGCGGGUUGUAUCGCUAGCUAGCUAUGGGCGACAACCUCACCAUGGGUGGCAAAGCUACGUUGUCUGUUAAGAAAGAGAUAGGUUGCCUUAUUAUGGAUUGUGGGCGGUGUCGUGAUGGCCAUAAUCAACACACAAGUAGUGCCACCACGGGUGACAUGCAAGUAGCAUGUAGUCAGUGCACCACCAAUGAGACCCGUGCACGUGGGCAAGGUGGAACGCAACAAUGGUAGCAAGAGAGGCCUUAGGGUUUUUAAAAGGUAUUUUUACACCUCAGAAAUUAGAUAAUUUCGAUUUGUGUCCAUAAAUUCAACUUUAAUAAUUUUGCACUUUAGAAAUCAAAUGUUUUUAUUAUAUAUCACAAAUAAAAUUAUAGUUUUACCCUUCAAUAAUUAAAUUUUUUACUUAUCAAUUAUGAAAUUAUCCAAUAUGAUUUAUUUAAUUAAAUUUUUGGAUCAGCCUUGAUUAUGAUUAUAUUUUUGACUACUUGAUUGGAUUUUGAUUCAAUCAAUCAAGUUUUUGAUCAAAUUCGUAAAAAAUUAAAUUUUAUUCGAUUUCUAACUUUAAUCAAUUUUAAUUUUGAUAGGCCUAAUUAGGUGAAUGGUUAGCCCAAUGAGCCCAAUUUAGGUAGCCUAAUUCGUAACUUACCCAAUUAACUAUGGUUGACUAGUCUAAAGGUUUUAUACAAAAUUUAGAAAACUAUAAAUUCUGAUUUUUCUUCUAUAAUUUUCUCAUAUGAUAUUAUUGAUAAAAUUUUACGUGUGAUAAAUAAAAUUUUAAUUAGUAUUCUUAGAUAUUUAUUUAAUUAUUCAUAUAUAUAUAUAUAAUUAUAUGAUAAUAUUUAUUUUUCGCAUAAAGGUAUUAUUUAUAUGAUAAAAUUAUAUCAUAAAAGUUUUUCUUUAUAUUGAUUAAUAUGUAAUAAUUACUAUAGUUAUUAAUGAAUUAUUUUAACAUAAAUUAGAUUAAAAAAAUAAAUAAAUAUUAUUUGUAACUCAUAUCCCCUAAACUUUAUUUGAUUGGUAAUUGUCAAAGCAUCAUAGGAUAGUAGGUUUAUGGGAUGUAAAUUAUAGAAUAUAUGUAAUAGGAAUCAUUUUAGACUAUAUUAAAAUAGACUAACAGUGUUGUAUUACAUAGAAAGACAUAUGAUACUGAUGAUAUACAAUCGUUAUGACUCAUAUUGAUAGUCAGACUUAAUAUGGUAUUAUGUUUAUUAGAUUUAUUGGCCUAUUUUAUAAAAUUCAUGUGCACAUAUAAAAUAUUUUUUUUCAAAAAUUUAGAAUUUAAUUAAGUAAAAUUAUUUUAAAAUAAUUUUUAUUUAUUUAUUUUGAUUUUAAUUUUUUCAUACCUUAUCAAUUUAAUGAUUCAAGUGAGAGAAUGUUAGAUUAUAUGACUCUAUCUAAUGAUGUAAGAUAUAUUAUAAAUAUGAUUGAAUUCUGAUUUAUCGAUAAAGUUCAAUUAUAACAAUAUUUCUUAGGAGAUGAUAUUGAUCAGAAGAACUCUCCUAAUUACCAUCAUAGACCCCUUACUUUUACUUAUAAAAGAAUAUGACUCAGUUAUUUAGAUCUUUUUUAUAUUUCUUAGUCCCUAAUUUAUCGCUCACAACGAUCAUGUGAAAAAUAGAAAGAGAAGAAAAGAUAAAUCUAAUUCUCUUGCAAAUCAAUAUCACUGCAGGAUCUAACGACAUUACGUUUACAAAUCAUAUAAAGACUUUUAGCGUCUAAAGAAAUACAUCUUAUGUUUAAUAUAUUUAUUAUUUAAAUUUAAUUUUUGAUAUUAAUAUAUAUAUAUAUAUAUAAUAAUAAUAAUAAUAAUAAUAAUAAUAUAAUCAUGAUUUUUAUACUUAUAAUUAUAACAGCUCGUUCGAUCACCCUGAAGCCAAUACGCCCAAAGAUUCGAAGAGAAAGGGGGAAGCGUGCUGAAGUUUCUCACAAGUAUCACCACCGGAGAAAGUAAGUGUGUAUGACAUGAAGGUAGCGACGUCCAAAGUGAAAGAGAUCAUGACCGCUUAUAAGUAGAGAGUACUAAUGGUUCUAGCCAAGUAUGUGGAGGGCCAUAACUGGCAGACUGUGCUUGUCGAGCUCUUUAACGCAAAGCUAGCAAACAGCUGGGUUAGGACUAAUGCAUCGUUAUCAAGUAAGUGACAGUCGUCCUCUAUUAUCACCUCGUUGUCCUCUUGUAAGCCCCGUACUCAUUUGGAGCUGCUGUAAUGAUGGUUAGGAAUAAUGCAAUGGACAAGAUGAUCAACCUCCCAUCGUAUUAUUUAUUGAGUUGGAACGAAUCGAUUUGGUUGUAACCCUUCGAGUUUACUCGAUGAAUAAUACUGAUGACAAUGAUAAUCACAGCCGUGCAUGGAGAUUCGUGAGGAAUCGGAUGAGGCCGCCCCACCACGUGCGCCCUCGUACGAUAAGAUUCCCCGUCGCCAUGCACGAAAUAAAUGAGAGGAGGAGAACGGGUUGGCUGGUGAGGAGGGCGGCGACCUCGGGCGGACAGCCAUCGUCGCGGGGGGGGGGAGGGGACCGCUAGCAAAGCGUAGUGGCGCAGCCGGCCGAGGCCCACGCGCGGUGGGGGCGCCACCAGGGGUCGCGCGUAAAGCCCGAGCGUCUCCCGUCCUCAUCCGCUUACCCCCUUUGGCCGUAUGCUUGCAUGUAUUUCGUGUACGCCGAUACAGACUUGGUUGGGAAAUCAGGAAUAUUCCGAAUUCCGUAGCUCUGAUUCGUAUUUUUGAUUGUGUAACAUCCCUGAUUAGUCCCACAUCGAAAAUGGGUAAGACUAAGAUUAACUUAUAAAGAUAUGAUGAGUAUACUAUUAUCAACUUUAGCUUAAGCAUUUUGGUCUUGACCUGCAUGUGCAGGCUAUCCCUACCGGUUCCAAAUGAAUCAUGGCUGCUGUUCUAUAGGUGUUUUCGGAGAUGAAUACACCGGGGGUAUUGCUUGACAAACUAGGAGAUGAAUACAUUUGGCAGCCUUUUAAAUGCCAAUUGUUUGCUGAUUUAAUAAUGUAUGGACAAAGAAAUAAAUUAUUAGUGAUAACUAUCAUUAUGAGGUUAAGGUAAAACAAGUGGACCCGCCCGGCGUUGCGUAAUCACCCAAUUAUUGAUGCGCUUUCCACCUCAUCCUACGCCAUUGCUUACCUGGGCAGUGUACUUGAUUCGGGAGAGAAGAACGUUACCUUUGAAUCGACCUCUCCCCUCUCGUGAAUCUACAGCGUUAGGACAGUGGCCGUCGGAUUGUUCUGGGUGUCUUACUCGGCUCUUUUCCCGUCGAUCAUAACUUUCACCUUUUAUCAGAGCCACAGAACACAUGGUAGCUCCUCCUCCCCGGACAAUCUACAGUGGAUAAUGCCUCCUCAUUAGGGUCCUUGAAGGGUCGGUGUAGGGCAUCAUAUGUACUGCUUCACGAUCAACAGUUCCCUCUGGAUAUAUAUCCUCAUCCUGCGUGACUUUGCAUUUGCGCAUGCCAUGCACACCAGGUUUUCAUUAAUGGUGGAUGGCGGACAUGCGUGCAUGGCAGUGGAGACGCCAUGAUCACUGGAGACCCCCAGCGGACCCGCCCCUGUCGGCGAUUGCCUCGCGCAGUCACCAGACGAUCCUGGGUGAUGGGUGUGCAGUGGAAGACUAAGGUCCUCGAGCUGAAACUUUCUCGAGCCAUGGCUUUAAGGGCAGGACCACAACUGGGCCAAAGCCAGAAUCAAUUAGCAGAAUGGUGCUAUGUAUGCUUCUUAAGAUUGAAGAUAAUUAGCUGCAAGCUUUUAAGAAAAUUUGUAGCUUGUGUAGCUUCGAGUUUUCUUAACUAUAUGACGGAGAGAGAGAGAGAGAGAGAGAGAGAGAGAGAGAGAGAGAUAGAAAACAUGGAAACUGGCCGGGAGACCUCUCUCUUUGGUCUCUUGUCGGCGGCGACGUAUGCCUCCUCCUUGAUUGGGUUGGCAUGAACUUUACGUGCAUUAAAUCCACAUCUUCUUCAGCCAGGAUGAACAAUCUGUGGCUUCAGAAUCGCCACAACAGCUGCAGUUGGUGGUGGGUACAUGCUCUUCUAAAUACAUCUUCCUUGCGACGCCAUCACAGGAGGAAGGUUUUGAUGCGUUGAAAAACGUGGGCGUUGCUAUGGACACCAAAAACAGUGAAAUUGACCAGACGAUAUCCUCCGUUUCAUAGCAGAAUACUAAGAUCUUGUAGUUUGAUGCAUGCAAGCCACACAUCAUUCCCUUCAUGUAAAAGGGACUUGGCUCUGCCCGUGAUACAGAUCUACUUAGUCCCCUUCUGUGGCCACCCCAACGUUGCAAUCAAGUAGGGUUUACCAAAGAUUGCUUUUAGCAUGGUUGCUGCAUGGAUGUGGUUGCUUCUCUUUGUUAAAUGUAUUACAGUUUUUGUAUCAAACCCAUAAAAAAAAAAGCAAAAAAAAAAAAGGACAAUCUCUCUCUCUCUCUCUCUCUCUCUCUCUCUCUCUCUCUCUCUCUCUCUAUCUCUCUCUCUCGUGUAUGACUAGUAUAUUGGGGCUUCUGAGAUCCGAAUUAUAUCAAAGAAGGUAGAAGAUAAAGUCAUUAAUUUGUAUCGGCUCUCUUGAUCAUCAAUCAAAAUCAAGGAACAAAGUCAGCACGUCUUGGCUUAACGAUUGGUUUCUCCGGAAGAGAUACUACGUUCGAAUAGUUGAUCAACAGUUCCACGUACUGGUGCCAAGCUUGGAAGAAGACCGCACGUGCCACAGCAACGUGGUGGAGUGGUACUACAGCACUCCGGGUGCCGCAUCACGUGCCGGUACUCAAUAGUCAUAAUACAUCUCCACCAGGGACAAUUGUGUCAUUUUACGUGGCGCGGUCAGGACCACACGAUCGUCGCUAUCAGGGCCGUCCAAUCCAUCGUCCUUCCGUGAGGCCCGGUCGACGGCCACAGAUUCGGUCACCCGCGGUGAU